ensembl:lncRNA
AUAGUUUUAGCAUCCCACAUUAAGGUGUCAACCGAUACUUGCUGUAGAUCAUGUUGAUGAGUUCAAAUUGCAGGACGUGAGAAUAAAAUCCCUUUAAAGGCAUAUAGUGCUUUAUUGGUAUGUUUACAGAGAUUCAGAGAAGCAUGCGGUAUCACAGUCAGUCUAGUGAGAAUAUAAUAUGGGAUUAUCUGGGACAUAUUCCAUGAUUUUCCAUGAUUUAAAGGAACCCUCAAUGCUGUCCUUUUGCAUAUAUUUUAAAGCACACCUUAUAGCAUUCUCUGCUGUUACCAACAGUUUAACCUUGAGAUGAUUUUCUGGGCUACACUUAGUAACUACAAACACAGCAGCCCAAAGCCCGUCAUGCCUGCCGCCACAGAGAAGAACUCCAGGUGCUGGUAAGUAACGCUAAACUUAAUUCUCAUUGGUGAAAUUACUGUAGUAUAAAAACAAUCUAAAAAAAUGUAAAGAUUGAUUGAUUAUGAUUGUAAAAAAUACUAGAUAAUACAAAAAAAUGUUAUGAAACCCUUUUGAUUGGUCACCAUAGCUUUGGUGUCCACAGUUCAGACAAAUAUGUCAUAAAUAGUGCUGAUGUGUUGACGACAACAACAAAAUUUAAGUUUAAAGUAGCAAUUUGAAAACAGGCUUAGUUUUCACAUAUAAUUAUUCCUGCUAAAUAUUCAUUAGCAGUUAUAAUUUGUUUGAUAGGAUAGAUCUAAUAUGGCAUUCAGAAAAGAAAUGUGGCCUCUACCAGCGAGCACAGAAAAAUUUGUAAUUAUCAGCCAUAUAACAAUUAAUAUAAAAAUUAAAAUGAGAGUUACUAGACUUAUUAAAACAAUGGAAAGUCUUAUAGUGUGAGUGCUUCCAACAAAAAAAAUGUGAUUUUCAGAAAAUAUUUGACAUACAGGUGUAACCCACACAUAUGCACACAGAACUUUAACUAAACGUUGUGCUUCACCUUGAUGCAUGCUCAAUCAUCCAGGUGAGUAAAUCCCCAAAAGUUGAUUCUGUUCAUCUGGACGUAGCGUUUUCAGUGGGAGAAACGUUUGUCACUCAUCCAAGUGACUUCUUUAGUCUCAGCUGACUACAGGUCGCCCAAGUCAUAAACAGUACAUUAGCAUAAUGACUGAAACCAGCACCACUGUAGGAACAAAGGGGCUGGGAGGUCAGUUCCUUGAUCAUUAAUAUGGAAAUUCUCAUGACCAUGAUGACCCCCCACCUCAGCAACAGGACCACUCUCAGCUUCGACCAAGUGUGUUUGCUUUUGAAACUGUGUCUUAAGUCCACCUAUUUCACAUACAAGGGUCAGUACUACAGGCAGAAACAUGGGUGUGCCAUGGGCUCCCCAGUUUCACCCAUCGUGGCCAAUUUGUACAUGGAAGAAGUGGAAAAGAGGGCUUUGGUAUCCUACCCUGGAACGUCCCAGGACAUACCGCAAUUCACAGAUCACAUUAACUCGGUGGACCAACACAUCAAAUUCACCAGGGAGGAUAUGAAAAGUGGCAGGUUAGCUUUCUUAGACUGUGAGAUUUCCAUCAGUAAUGGGGGACAUCUAAAAGCUGAUGUGUACCGAAAACCUAUGCAUACGGAUCAGUAUUUAAGGUUUGACUCUCAUCAUCCACUGGAGCAUAAAGUCGGUGUCAUCAGGACGCUACAACAUAGAGCCAAUACCAUUCCCACUGACACAGCGGCCAGGGAGGCAGAAGAACAUCACAUCAAGAAGGCCCUGAGUAAAUGUGGUUAUCCCAGCUGGACUUUUGUCAAAGCUGGUAAGGCACCUAAAGAAAGCUCCAGCUGAUCAAGGAGAGAAGGACAACUGCUGCCUAAGCGAAAACCCAGAGUGGAGUAUCGGGAGUAUCGGAACAGCUGAGACGCAUUUUUUCGAAACAGCGUGCCUUGGUGGCUUUUAAACCCCACACACAAAAAAUGUGCCACCCCAAGGAUCGGGUCCCCUGACACAUCCAGAGUGAUAUAGUGUACCAAAUUAUUUAAUAUUUACAGUGAGUCUAGUGCUCUGGUUGUGCUAAAUGCAAAUAAUAUCUUCCUCGAUUUUCUUCAUGAAAGGGAAAAAAGACCAGAAAUAUACCAUCCAGGUGCCAGUGGUGAAUUCACAUGCCAGAGAGUAAGAAGACAUCUUAUUUUAAAUAUGAAGAUGAUUUUGAUCUACAUGAUCAUCGCAGCUCCAGCAAUGACCGCUGUGGCACAAGGGUCUUCAGAAUGCAAUCUAACUGAACCUGGGCCCCAGACAUGUUUUGGAGUUUUAGGAGAACCGCUCGUUUUUUACAUACCUACUAAACCACAUAUAAAGACAAGCUUGAAAAAGAGUACAGAUAAGAUUUUAAUGUUAAUAAAUGAUAAAUUAGUUAGUCUCAAUGAAAAAUACAAGAAUCGUACUAUAUUCUCCACAAAUGGAACAUUGAAGCUCAACAAAGCAACAAAAAAUGACUCUGGAGAGUACAGCAUGGAAACACACAAUUCUACUGAAGGUGUGUUAUUGUACACAGUUAACAUCCAUCUACAUAUACUAGCUCCUGUGUCAGAACCAGCUGUUACGCAGAUGUGUUUGUCACCAAAACAGAUGACAGUCAGCUGUUUCUCUGAAGGAGACGAAGUAGAGUUCAUUUUGUCUUUGGAUGAUAAGUUGUUGAUACAGUCUACAGCUGACGGUAUAGAAAACAACAACAUUUCAAAUGUUACCAUCAACUUACCUGGUCAGCUGAUGGGAAACCUGACAUGUGUUGCUCAAAACAAUGCCAGCAGAAAACAAACUAUCACCCACCUUACAAGCUGCACAGCUCCUGUGUCAGAACCAGCUGUUUCGCAGAUGUGUUUGUCACCAAAACAGAUGACAGUCAGUUGCUCCUCUGAAGGAGAUGAAGUAGAGUUCACCUUGUUUUUGGAUGAUAACUUGUUGAUAAAAACCCAACCCAGCAUUGCAGAAAACCACAACAUUUCAAAUGUUACCAUCAGUUUACAUGGUCAGCUGAUGGGAAAUUUUAUGUGUAUCGUCCAAAACAACAUCAGCAGAGAACAAACCAUCAUCCACCUUAUAAGCUGCACAGAGAGUCUCCCAGACUUGUUCUCUAAAAACCUAAAGAAGAAUUGUGGAUUUGAUCUGGUCCCUUAAAGAAACCGACAGCUCCUGGGCUGGGGAAAGCACGAUUGUCAUGCGGAGAUGUUUGCUGCCGGAUACUCGAUGGUCGGUUGCUUUGUGUGUCUGGCGACACUCUCGAUGGAGGACAUUGAACGACAUGUACCAAUUCGGAACCACGAUAACAGAGUUCUGGCUGAUUGAGCUGGCUCGGACCUGGCUUAUCGAAGAACAAGAAGCGGCUACAGCUGUUCAAAAUCCCAUAAGGCUGGCCGAUAUGAUAGACGAUGGGCAGGGCUGUGAGUACUCAGACUGUUUUUUUGAACGCAAUAUGGAUAAGAUCUUGGAGAAGCUCAUGGCUCUGCUAUAUGGAUAACAUCUUGAAGAAGAACAAUGGGAAUUGAGAGACCUGGUGACCAGUGACGGACAUUAGACCUUCUGUAAAAUUGGAUGCAGUUUGUUCGCACUAACCAAAACAACUACCAUCUUCAUCUCAUGCGGCCCCCCUGGCGCCAGCUGGAUGCUCAAGGCAAAAGCUGACGGGAAUAACAAAUUCUCCCUUAGAUAACAAAACUGUGUUGUGACUUUCUUCCCCCUCAUUCAAGGCCACCCGUGUCCACCGAAGAUUGUUGACUUUUGCCUAACUGAGUGAAGGGACACUUUCACAUACGCAUGUACACUGACACAUACCUACACUCACCCCUCCACCCCCUCCAAACGCCUUCGAAGCUUAUGUCUUCUAUGUUGUGAGAUGUAAUGAUUCAUGUGCUAUGUGCUGAGGUGUUUUUUUCUGUUCUCAGACUGAUCUCCCUGUUGGAGCUCAGUCUGGGGGGAGUUCUUUUUUCUCCUCGUCUUUCCUCAUUUUGUGCAUUUUCCAUUGUUAUACCUCUCUGACUUGUCUUCCCCAUGUGAUGCUGUGUAAUGAAUGUAUGGUCGGAAGGGUAAGAUGGCCCUGGCAAAAGGUCGGCAGCCUUAACCCAAUUUCCUUCGGGGUCAACCUUCGGGAUCAAUAAAGUUUUAUUGAAUUGAAUUGAAUUGAAUUGAAUUGAACAUUGUAGCCCAGUAAACUAUAUUUACAUUAUUUCAGUACUUCUUAAUGGUUUUAAUUUCUAGGUAAUAUUUCUGACCACUGCAUUGUGACCAUGGCUGUGGUAGUAAGCAUUGCCAUUCUACUCAUUCUGGCUGUGUUUCUUGGUAUCCGGAAAUUCAAAAACACAACUGGCAUUAUGACUGUUCAUGAAGAUGAAGCUGAAGAGGACGUUGUCUACUCAGAUAUUAGACUGAAGCAGCGUGCAAGAGAAACAAGAGAAACACCACCUAUUUCAAAUCAAGAUGAAAGUUAACGUUCUCCUAAACAGUCUGACAUUCUGAAACCUAAAACCUAACAUGUUGACUUUCGGUCAACUGGCUAAUAAAACUAUGCCAGUUUAGCAGUUCCAUCUUUGCAGUGAACGUGAAGGUAAACAUAUUUAACAAGCACUCACUGGAUUACUUUAAUUUUGAAGAAAACAUAAAGGGGAAAAAGUUAUUUCGAAGGCAUUUAAUAUACAUGAAAUACUUAUUUAUACUUAUUUAUAAAUGCUUUAUAUUUGAACUACAUUUUAUUUGACAUAAUUUAAAUAAACUACAUCAACCUUGUAAAAGUUCUAACCAACAUUUUACAUUUAACCUUGGAGAUUGAAUAAAAGGCUUUGGUCAGUGAUGGUGCUUUCCUUGUGUUGUGUUAAGCAGACGUGGGCUGUGCCUCAU